rnacentral:lncRNA from 1 species
CAGAGUCAUGACUGAAGCCGGCACAGGUGACAGAGUCCUUGUGCCCUGAGCACUCAAACAGGAGCUCUCCAUCACUCAGGCGCCACACGAAGGCUUUAUCAUCUUCCCCGCCUGUCACCGCCAGCGUGUUGGUCUUUGGGUCGAGGCUCACACAGAACACUGAGGCUGAGUGCAGCGAGAACGUGACCUCGCUGUCGUCCUGCGCCUCCAUGCCGUCCUCCAACCCCUCAUCGUCCUCCGUCUCCCAGGCCUCACCGUCGGGCUCCUCUGCUCCCUCGUCCUCGAAGUCCACGUCCUCCAUCUCUGCGGCCAGGUCAUCCGGCCCGGGCGGGCCCAGCUCCACCACCUCGAUGAUCUCCUCGUCGCCAUGGAAGUCCAACGCGCCAGGCCCGUCCGCGGGCUCCAUGCCGGCCUGCCCGCGCGCCACACCCCGCC